UAUGCCUAGGUGGGAUUAGCUAGUUGGUGAGGUAAGGGCUCACCAAGGCGACGAUCCCUAGCUGGUCUGAGAGGAUGAUCAGCCACACUGGAACUGAGACACGGUCCAGACUCCUACGGGAGGCAGCAGUGGGGAAUAUUGCACAAUGGGCGCAAGCCUGAUGCAGCCAUGCCGCGUGUAUGAAGAAGGCCUUCGGGUUGUAAAGCACUUUCAGUCGUGAGGAAGGUAGUGUAGUUAAUAGCUGCAUUAUUUGACGUUAGCGACAGAAGAAGCACCGGCUAACUCCGUGCCAGCAGCCGCGGUAAUACGGAGGGUGCGAGCGUUAAUCGGAAUUACUGGGCGUAAAGCGCAUGCAGGUGGUUUGUUAAGUCAGAUGUGAAAGCCCGGGGCUCAACCUCGGAAUAGCAUUUGAAACUGGCAGACUAGAGUACUGUAGAGGGGGGUAGAAUUUCAGGUGUAGCGGUGAAAUGCGUAGAGAUCUGAAGGAAUACCGGUGGCGAAGGCGGCCCCCUGGACAGAUACUGACACUCAGAUGCGAAAGCGUGGGGAGCAAACAGGAUUAGAUACCCUGGUAGUCCACGCCGUAAACGAUGUCUACUUGGAGGUUGUGGCCUUGAGCCGUGGCUUUCGGAGCUAACGCGUUAAGUAGACCGCCUGGGGAGUACGGUCGCAAGAUUAAAACUCAAAUGAAUUGACGGGGGCCCGCACAAGCGGUGGAGCAUGUGGUUUAAUUCGAUGCAACGCGAAGAACCUUACCUACUCUUGACAUCCAGAGAACUUUCCAGAGAUGGAUUGGUGCCUUCGGGAACUCUGAGACAGGUGCUGCAUGGCUGUCGUCAGCUCGUGUUGUGAAAUGUUGGGUUAAGUCCCGCAACGAGCGCAACCCUUAUCCUUGUUUGCCAGCGAGUAAUGUCGGGAACUCCAGGGAGACUGCCGGUGAUAAACCGGAGGAAGGUGGGGACGACGUCAAGUCAUCAUGGCCCUUACGAGUAGGGCUACACACGUGCUACAAUGGCGCAUACAGAGGGCGGCCAACUUGCGAAAGUGAGCGAAUCCCAAAAAGUGCGUCGUAGUCCGGAUUGGAGUCUGCAACUCGACUCCAUGAAGUCGGAAUCGCUAGUAAUCGUGGAUCAGAAUGCCACGGUGAAUACGUUCCCGGGCCUUGUACACACCGCCCGUCACAGCAUGGGAGUGGGCUGCAAAAGAAGUAGGUAGUUUAACCUUCGGGGGGACGCUUACCACUUUGUGGUUCAUGACUGGGGGUGAACUCGUAACAAGGGUAACCCGUA
rnacentral:rRNA from 1 species